CCUGAUGGCUCAGACAGUAAAGAAUCUGCCUGCAAUGCAGGAGACCCAGGUUCGAUCCCUGCAUUGGGA
rnacentral:tRNA from 1 species